UUUUUUUUAUUUUAAGACAGGGUCUCACUGUGUUGCCCAGGCUGGUCUCCAACUUCUGGGGUCAAGCGAUCCUCUUGUCUCAACCUUCCAAGUAGCUGGGACUACAGACAUUCCGCCACCAUGCCUAGCUAACAAAGGGUAUUUUAAGGGUGAAGAGAUAAAUAGGUGGGGUGAGGUCUGAAAGGAUUCCCAGCACAGGAGCUUCUGUCCCUGUGGGUGGGUUGGGGAACUGAUUCUUGUUCACCUUCCUGUCAGCCUCCACAUUCAGUUCUCUAGAAACUCCCCAAACCCUGUCCUCUUGGGCAUUUUAUGGAGAUGUCAUUGGAUAGGCAUGAUUGAAACGUGGACAACCGUGUUGAAAUGUGAUUGGACAAAAAAGGUGUGAUCUAAACCCAGCAAGACCUGACCAGGUUCUUCGGGCUUCUCUGUACAGCAUUCCUUAUCCCAGGGUAUGGCGCAGGACCCCCUCUGGAAUAAGAGUCUUAUGACCCACAGUCAGAUCUUAGAGUCUAGCUUUGGGCAGGUGAAAGGAUGGCAGAAGGUCAGAGAGAGAGAUUCUGUUUACUGUAGUAAGGGCUAUGGGAGUUAUGAGCCAGGGACCCUGGACAAAAACACACAUAUAUGUCAUCACAGUUGGACUUCAUCAAAAUGAGUAACUCUGAACGAUAUCAUGGAGAAAAUGAAAAGGCAAGCCACAGACUGGGAGGAAAUACUACAAAUGUAUAUUUAAUAAAGGACUCAUAUUUAGGAUAUAUAAAGAACUCAUAACUCAGCCAGAAACCAAACAGCCUGCUUCAUUAUUAUUAUUUUGAGAUGGAGUUUCGGUCUUGUUGCACAGGCUGGAGUUCAGUGGUGCG
rnacentral:lncRNA from 1 species